UUCUUUACGUCGAGCGUUUAUUAGUUGCAAUUUGCUUGCGGUAAAAGUUGUUCGCCAACAAGUCGAACAAAUUAAAUAAUUUAACACAAGGAAAGUUGCGAAUAUGGGUAAAAAUAAAGGCGGCGGCGGUGGAGGCGGUGGAGGAGGAGGAGGAGGAGGAGGAGGCGGCGGCGGCGGCAAUGUAAGCAAUAUUUGUGUUAUGCAACUCGCGUUUUAAUUAAAAAAAGUGGUGGUGGUGGAGGCGGCGCAGCAGGUGGUGGUGGCAAAAACAAAGCAGCUGCUCCGGCCGCAGACAAAGCUGGCGCCAAGAAGGGGCCAGAGCCCAAGGCAGGCGGCGGCGGCAAGAAGGGCGGCAAAAAAUAGGACAUCACAUUGCCAGGAAAGCGCAUUAAAUUAAAUAUUAGAAUAAAUAUGUAUGCAACUAUAUUUUUUAAGUUUAAAACGAGAUAUUAAACGCGAGAGUUUUUAAUA